rnacentral:rRNA from 1 species
GAUGAACGCUGGCGGCGUGCUUAACACAUGCAAGUCGAACGGAGAGCCAAUGACGGAGUUUUCGGACAACGGAUUUGGUUUCUUAGUGGCGGACGGGUGAGUAGCGCGUGAGCAACCUGUCUUGGAGUGGGGAAUAACAGCUGGAAACAGUUGCUAAUACCGCAUAAUGCAGCGAGGGGACAUCCUCUUGCUGCCAAAGAUUUAUCGCUCUGAGAUGGACUCGCGUCUGAUUAGAUAGUUGGUGAGGUAACGGCUCACCAAGUCGACGAUCGGUAGCCGGACUGAGAGGUUGAACGGCCACAUUGGGACUGGGACACGGCCCAG